UGGACAUUCUUGGAUUCAAUCAUAAAUAUUUUCAUGCAUUUUUCAUGUGUCUGGAAACAUGAUUGGAUUGCUGUCGCUGUGACAUUUUGUGUUCGUGUUUGGCGCUUGAUGUUCCUGCAUUUAUUCUAAAAUUGAUACGAGACAUGAAACGAUUUGAGCAACAUCGGGAUGCCAGAAAAGAUCAAACACAGAGGCGGCUUUUGAAUGGCGCUUUGAACUUGGCUCUUCUCUGAGGUGGUACAGGGAGGCUGAAAUGAUAAGAGACGAAAACCGUAGGAUGGUUAAAGAGAACUUCCUCGUGGAGGCGAGCCUUGGGAGAUUAGGAUCUAAGAUGAGCCCUGGCUGUCUCUCACUCGCUCUGUGUAUGUGCAGAAGGAAGGAACGGAAGGUCUCAUGUGUUGUAAAGGCAAAAACACAGACCUGGAACGAAGCAGAUUCUAGAUCUCUAUAUUAAAUCAUGUGUCUCAUAAUCAUCUAAACUGCUUGCACAUAGUCCAACGUAGCCUAUAGAUGAAGACGGAUUGGCUCCCGCAGCAUACCUUAUCUCCGCAUGUGCAAAUAAACAGAUCAAUAUGUUACAUGUUUCCCAUAUCAUACAGUCAUCGUCAUACAGUGUUCUCUGGAUUUAUCAGUAUCAGA